CGCGGCCUAUCAGCUUGUUGGUGGGGUAGUGGCCUACCAAGGCGGCGACGGGUAGCCGGCCUGAGAGGGUGACCGGCCACAUUGGGACUGAGAUACGGCCCAGACUCCUACGGGAGGCAGCAGUGGGGAAUAUUGCACAAUGGGCGCAAGCCUGAUGCAGCAACGCCGCGUGCGGGAUGACGGCCUUCGGGUUGUAAACCGCUUUCAGCAGGGACGAAGCUUUUUGUGACGGUACCUGCAGAAGAAGCACCGGCUAACUACGUGCCAGCAGCCGCGGUGAUACGUAGGGUGCGAGCGUUGUCCGGAUUUAUUGGGCGUAAAGGGCUCGUAGGCGGUUGAUCGCGUCGGAAGUGGAAACUUGAUGCUUAACGUUGAGCGUGCUUUCGAUACGGGUUGACUUGAGGAAGGCAGGGGAGAAUGGAAUUCCUGGUGGAGCGGUGGAAUGCGCAGAUAUCAGGAGGAACACCAGUGGCGAAGGCGGUUCUCUGGACCUUUCCUGACGCUGAGGAGCGAAAGCGUGGGGAGCGAACAGGCUUAGAUACCCUGGUAGUCCACGCUGUAAACGGUGGGUACUAGGUGUGGGGUCCAUUCCACGGAUUCUGUGCCGUAGCUAACGCAUUAAGUACCCCGCCUGGGGAGUACGG
rnacentral:rRNA from 1 species